rnacentral:lncRNA from 1 species
GAUCUUUGAUAUUCAGUAGGCCAAAUAUUGGGUGAUUAACAGAACCAUUGAACAUAUUUCAAACAUGCUGAUGUGUGUAGACAUGCUCACUUACAGCUUUUGAAAGGAAAUGUAUCCUCUGCAUUCCAAUAGCCAUUCUAGCGAGAAAAGUAUUUAUAGGAAAAAUUAUUCACUUAUGCCUAACAAGAAAAAGGAAACUCAUAAAAAAUUUAAAUACUGUGAUUUGCCACUUUUUAUAAUCACAGCAAGAAAGAACAUAUGCACACUUGGAGUUUAAUGACGAGUAUUUAAAAAAAAAAAAAAAAACCUGGAAGCUACAGAAAGCCACAGGAUUUAGCAAACCUUGUAUUUGAUAUGACAGAAACUCACUUAUGCACCUGGUCAAUUCUGUGCCUCUGUUUAGCUAUUAAAUACUUGCUGAAUUCAGUACCACUUUGCAGUGUAGCUGUAGAGCUCCCCCAAGAAAAGGCUCCACCCCCACCAUUUCUAACCACGCUUUCUCUGGUGUCCAGGCCCAGUACAUCUUUUUACAUCAGUGUGUUCUGGAUCUCUUAUCAAGUAAAGGAGGGAAUCCGCCCGUCUGCUUUGUGAACUACGCAGCACUUCAGAAGAUGGACUCUCUGGACGCCAUGGAAGGUGACGUUGAGCUCGAAUGGGAAGAAACCACCAUGUAAGCAUUCGGCCAGAGCUGCCGCUGGAGGCACCUUUGAGUCCCAGGGCCCAAUCACCCUUCGCGCUUCUGAAUGGAAUUGUGCAACCUAAAAUAAAUCGCUGUGCUUCCCUCACUGUGCCUUACUAAAUGGGUUGACAUGUUAUGAAGAGUUCUAGGAAAUAGCUCAUUCAGGAUGUUAUCCCCUUAUACAGAACACAUUUAAAAUGUUUAAGAGAAGACACCCCAGAGACUUUUGGAGGCUUGUGUAUUUUGGGAAUGAGCCAAAUAUGAAGUUAGGGUUAUAUUUACAUGAAUGUUUCCAUGUGCGUUGUCCCUACACUUCGGGUCCAGUCUUGACCAAAAGUUGUCAAUGUUGGCUCAGUCGUGUCAUUUUGGGCUCCAGGGUGUGGAUAUUCCUUUCGGAUCACUUCCAAGACUGUCAUAAUGAUCCGCACUUCCACGUAUGCGCCUGUGUUUUGAAUCCUCAGUUUUAUGAGUGCUGAGAUAGCAUCUCAUGAUCUCCAACAGCUGAACAGUAACCCCCUGACACUGCAGGGAUUACUUAGCCUUGAUACAACACACAGUAGCUCUUUGGGAAUACUUAGGGCUAUUUAGAUUGCAUUGUAAUCUCUAGUUUGGAAAAAAACAAAAGGAAAAGUUAAACAGUGCAGUUGCUUAUAUGAAGUUGCACUUUUCUAGCCUGUCCUCAUUUGUACAUUUUCAGGAACAAGCUGUACCCACUACCUUGUAUAUUUAAAUACACAGUUAAAUGUAUCAGUAUUUGUCCAUUUGAUAUAUAUUCAGCCUACUAACAGUCUGAAGAUUUUCUUCAGCAGAAAUGUAUGAAAACAUUAAUAAAAAUGUUGUGUUGCAAGUUUGUAAACUACUGAUGUGCUCCUGUGGUGCCAACAGAGACUUCUGAAUAGAUUACAUAAAAUAGUCUUUAUGUCAUUUCCCAAGAUUGAUUUUUAAGGGGUGUAUUUGGUGGAACUGAGAACAAAGAAAUUAACCAGAUUGUAGCAACUUAGUGAUUUUUUUAAAAGAAAAUAAAUUCACUCUCCUUUUUGUUAGAUACUAAGAAUGUACUAAGUUUUGAACUGCAAUGAAAUUAUUUUGGCAUAGAUUUCAAUUAAAGGUUAUAAGAUAGUAUUAAUCUAUUUCUUUUAUGCUGAAUUUUAGCUUCUGCUUAUUUUUGCUGGAAUAUAUAAAAAAUAUGAUGGCCAAUAAAAUUGAAUUUUAAGGAAUUGAGUUACUUUGCAGCAUGAUUUCAGAGGUCCUUAUAAACUUGAUUUUUUUUCUUUUUUGACCUAACCCAUGGCCUGUGGAGGUUCCUGGGUCAGGGAUCGAACCCAAACAACAGCAGCAACCAAAGCCACUGCAGUGACAAUGCUGUAUCCUUUACCACCUCAGUCACAAGAGAACUUCCAUAAAC